rnacentral:rRNA from 1 species
CAUGUAGGUAUCUACCCUUUGGCCUGGAAUAACACGAGGAAACUUGUGCUAAUACCAGAUAAGUCUUUACGGAGAAAGCUUUAUGCACCAUUGGAUGAGCCUGCACUUGAUUAGUUUGUUGGUGGGGUAAUGGCCUACCAAGACUUUGAUCAAUAGCUGAUUUGAGAGGAUGAUCAGCCACAUUGGGACUGAGACACGGCCCAAACUCCUACGGGAGGCAGCAGUGGGGAAUCUUGCACAAUGGAGGAAACUCUGAUGCAGCGAUGCCGCGUGAGUGAAGAAGGCCCUUGGGUUGUAAAGCUCUUUCGUCGGGGAAGAAAAUGACUGUACCCGAAUAAGAAGGUCCGGCUAACUUCGUGCCAGCAGCCGCGGUAAUACGAAGGGACCUAGCGUAGUUCGGAAUUACUGGGCUUAAAGAGUUCGUAGGUGGCUAAAAAAGUUGGUGGUGAAAUCCCAGAGCUUAACUCUGGAACUGCCAUCAAAACUUUUUAGCUAGAGUUUGAUAGAGGAAAGCAGAAUUUCUAGUGUAGAGGUGAAAUUCGUAGAUAUUAGAAAGAAUACCAAUUGCGAAGGCAGCUUUCUGGAUCAUUACUGACACUGAGGAACGAAAGCAUGGGUAGCGAAGAGGAUUAGAUACCCUCGUAGUCCAUGCCGUAAACGAUGUGUGUUAGACGUUGGAAAUUUAUUUUCAGUGUCGCAGUGAAAACGAUAAACACACCGCCUGGGGAGUACGACCGCAAGGUUAGAACUCAAAUGAAUUGACGGGGACCCGCACAAGUAGUGGAGCAUGUGCGUUAAUUCGAAGAUACGCGCAGAACCUUACAACACUUGACAUGUUCGUCGCGACUUUAAGAGAUUAAAGUUUCCGGUUCGGCCGGACAAACACCGGUGCUGCAUGGCUGUCGUCAGCUC